rnacentral:ncRNA from 1 species
CAUUUUUUUAUUUAGCGUGGGUUUGUGGUUUUCCUUAGCGGGUUGGACAUGCGGGCAUGUGUGUGUCGUAGUUGGGGGGCUUAGUAAGCCUGUUAGUACAAGAAGUAAAAUUGGUGCCAGCAUCUGCGGUUAUACUUAAUCUUAAAAACUUAUUUAGUUAGGCUAUUUUUCCAAAGGGUAGGUGGAGUUUGGUGAAAUAAGACUGAGUGUGAGUUUGCUAAGAAGGUUAGGUUAGUCGGGACCAGGAUUAGAGACCCUGUUACUGUUUGUAAGAUCUAAUGAUUAUGGUUAGAAGUUACAUGGUUUGGCGGCUUAGCUAUAUUAGAGGAGUUUGCUGUUAAUCGAUAGGGCUCGGUGGCUCUUAUCUAGUUUAUUUAUGUACACCGUCAUUUAGUUAAUUUUUUAAGAAAAAUUGAGGUAGUGAGUUAAGUAUGUUAGAUCAAGGUGCAGAGUGUCUAGAGACUAGUUAACUACAAUAUAGAUUAAUAAAAUAGGCACAGUAAGGUGAGUGGUAAAAAGUGGAUUUAAAAGUAAUUAUUUAUGUUUGAUUUUACUUGCUGAGUGUACAAAUUGCCCGUCAAUCUCUAAGAGAUAAGUCGAAACAAAGUAGAAGCACCGGAAGGUGCUUCU